rnacentral:rRNA from 1 species
CGGGGUGAGUAAUGUCUGGGAAACUGCCUGAUGGAGGGGGAUAACUACUGGAAACGGUAGCUAAUACCGCAUAACGUCGCAAGACCAAAGAGGGGGACCUUAGGGCCUCUUGCCAUCGGAUGUGCCCAGAUGGGAUUAGCUAGUAGGUGGGGUAAUGGCUCACCUAGGCGACGAUCCCUAGCUGGUCUGAGAGGAUGACCAGCCACACUGGGACUGAGACACGGCCCAG